rnacentral:rRNA from 1 species
UGUUGGUAUCUUAGUGGCGGACGGGUGAGUAACGCGUGGGUAACCUGCCUUACACUGGGGGAUAACACUUAGAAAUAGGUGCUAAUACCGCAUAACAGGGAAAGAUGCAUGUCUUUUCCUUGAAAACUCCGGUGGUGUAAGAUGGACCCGCGUCUGAUUAGCUGGUUGGCGGGGUAACGGCCCACCAAGGCGACGAUCAGUAGCCGGCCUGAGAGGGUGAACGGCCACAUUGGGACUGAGACACGGCCCAAACUCCUACGGAAGGCAGCAG